rnacentral:rRNA from 1 species
AUGGUGUGACUGCGUACCUUUUGUAUAAUGGGUCAGCGACUUAUAUUCUGUAGCAAGGUUAACCGUAUAGGGGAGCCGCAGGGAAACCGAGUCUUAACUGGGCGUUAAGUUGCAGGGUAUAGACCCGAAACCCGGUGAUCUAGCCAUGGGCAGGUUGAAGGUUGGGUAACACUAACUGGAGGACCGAACCGACUAAUGUUGAAAAAUUAGCGGAUGACUUGUGGCUGGGGGUGAAAGGCCAAUCAAACCGGGAGAUAGCUGGUUCUCCCCGAAAGCU